GAGGGUAUAGCUCAGUGGUAGAGUGAGUGCCUAGCAUGCAUGAGGUCCUGGGUUCAAUCCCCAGUACCUCCA
rfam:Camelus ferus unplaced genomic scaffold scaffold715, whole genome shotgun sequence.